CAGGCAGGGGAGCGGGGGGAAGGACACGGGGACAGGCAGCGGAGUGGGGGAAGGACAUGGGGACAGGGCAGGGCCAGACGUCCGGAGGGACUCCACGUGAAGCCAGGAUUGCUGAGGCAGUGAAUUUCAAAGACUGUGUGAUGCCUGCAACCAGUUACCACAUUUCCCUGGAGGAGCCAUUACCACCCGCUCCCCCAGAGUGUAUUAGGCGGCUCCCUCACCACCAUCCAUCUUGGGCGCCGACAGGAGGACUGUGACGCCACGAAGAACACGUUUCCUGUGGUGAGAGGAUGAUUUUCCUGGUGGACAAGUGUGACUCGGGAAAAUGCUGUCUCCUCCUGGCAGAUUCCUUGGGGCCCCAAGGCAGACGUGUUGUGGAGCGGACGAAUCUCCCCCCUGGGCCAGCUGGGGCACCUGGCUGAUGAGCCUGCUCAGUGUCUCCGUGUCUGUGACUUUGACAUUGAGCACGUGUUUCCAGGGAUCCAGAAGAGCAUUCGGGGCUCUUGGGGGAAGACUUGCAAGAGUGGCAUGUGAGUGAGGCGGAGGGUACGCACGGACCAUCCAGCGCGGGUCCCGGGUCUUGUGACCCUGACAUCGGGGUGUGGUUCGCUGAGAAGCGACUGGCACGGGCAGCUCGGGGAGCCCUGAGCGCCUCCUGUCAACCACACAGAAGCCUGGGUCCUUGCGUCCCCUUUAUCAGGGUGCUCGCAGCAGCUGCUACACGGUGAGGCCUGCUUGCAGGUAGGCAUUUCUACUGAAAAUCAGCUAAGAAUGCAGGAUUCCCAGCUUUAAAAACAACCACAAACACUUCAUGGAUUUGUCAGCAUGGGGCCUGCAUCCCCAUGGCCAGAGCUGCCUGCAGGGCCACUCCGUCUGCACGCGGCUUGUUUUCCUAGACCUGUGGCCCUGCCUGCUUCGUCGUCGUGUCACCUUCCGGCCUGCUAGCCACUGGAUUGGACCCUACUUCCUGGCGGUAAAUACCCCCCUCACCCCCGUCCAGUACGCCCACUGACCAUGCACUAACCCUGCCUGUGGCCGCACAUGUCCGCGGAGCCAGGCCCUCCUCUCCCCGCCGGCCCUGUCGAAAGUCUCCCCGGCUGCACACCUGCUCCUCACCAGCAGACUCGCCUCAUUUCAGUUCUUUCCCACACUCAGCACAGACACUUCCUGCUCAGGCCACGGAAGGCCCAGCAUCACGAAGUCCAUCUUCAGGUGCAACCCUGGGCCACCCCGCAGACUUGACACUUGCCGGCCACUUCCUCUGUGUACACUCUUGACACGUGGCUUUGCAACCCUGCACCAGUGGGGUUCUUCCUGCCCCCGGUGCUCCUUCCCAGUCUUCUUGCCAGGCUCCCCCUCCUCUGCCUGGGUGUUAGGUGUCCCACACAGAUGCCCACAGGCUCCUGUCUCCGUGUUCAUUCCCCGGCCUUCAAGAUGGUCCAUACAGUGACAGAUCCCAAAUUUAUGUGUCCAGAAUGUUCCUGUCUUCUAGCUCCAGACUCAUAAAUCAGGUGUUUACUUGAUGUCUGCAUUUGGGUGGCUCAUGGGCAGCGCAGUCCACAAGCCAGGAGUAAGCUCCAUUCCAGAACUCACUGUUUCUGAUGUAAUACGUGGAACCACAGGCCGUCGACUUAUUCAUUCUUUGUAUUGUGUCUCCCUCCUCAUAUCUGACCCAGCACUAACCUGUUCAUUUCAUGGCCCAAAUUCCCUUAGAUUCCCUGGAAUCCAUCUGCUUUCCCCAUCUCCAUGGCCUCCACCCCAAGGGAACAGAGGCCUGCUGCCUGCACAGCCUCCUGACUGGUCCCGUGACUUCCACAGAUGCCCCCCGCCCCCUCUGCACUCCCUGUGGCAGGUUGAAUGACCUUUUAAAGAAGCACAUCUGGUCAUCUGCCUCAGCUGCUGGGGACCCCCCCCUGCUCCUCUCACACCAGCAUAAGAGAAAGCCCCCCCCGCCAGGCCCAAAGCCCAGCGUGCCUGUCUCAGCCCCCCUGUGCCCCCUCCUCUUCCACCCCUGCUCCAGCCACAGGGCCUGUGCAUAUGCUGUUCCCUCUGCCUGGAGUGCCCCCCUGCUCCCAUUCCUGGCCGCUCCCGGUGGCCCCCCUUCUCAGCUCUGCUGUCACUCCCCAAGGGACCCUUCCCUGACCUUUGCGGACCAGGUAGGUGUCACCGUUGUCUCUGUUUCCCUGGUGACACUUACAUACCUCAUGAGCUCAUUCCGUUCCUGUUUCUGUUUUCACGAGACUGUCCACUCACCUGCUUUUAUUCAUCAUGACAUGCACAGCACAUGGCAUAGAGUAGGGGCUCAGUAGAUACCUACAGAAUGGAUGAGCUACAGAUAAUAGCCCUGGUACCUGGGAAUCAGAGGCUAGAGACCGUGGGUGCCACAGUGAGGCUGUGCUGGCUGCAGGACUCGAACCCAGGUCUCUGCGACACCGGGGUCUGCUGCCCCUGGACUCACAGACUUCUGUCCCUUCUCUGUUCUGUCCAUAGGAGGGUUCAGGCCCCCCUCUGCAUCUCAUUGGCGUUCGUGCCUCAGGAAGCAAAUGUGUCGUGUUACUGAGUCAUGACAUGACACACACACACCUCCGUUAGUCACACGGGUGCUCGGUUAGCCUAGAGAUCGGAAGGGAGAUCCCCUGCAAAGGUUGCUUCAGCUGUGGGACUGUGCUUUUCUACUGAGAAAAGACCAUACAUCGGAGUUAAUAUAAUUCACGAUAAAAGCAUGAAAACACACACUGCUUUGUCGAGACAUGGAACCACGCAGUUGCUAAAAAUGUCCGUAAAUUCUACGAGAUGCUAACUACAGUGUAGAUCAAAGUCUUACUCAAACAGUUAAUUAUUGUGAAUGUGGGUGUAAGAGGCAGGAUCACUGCAUGGCGAUGCCCCUGUCACAAGGUCUACGAUGGAACCAUGUCGCUAAAUGUGCCCUCCACCUCCUUUGUCUUAUUUUUGAAAGCACAAAAGCCCACGGAAAGCGGUGCAGCCCAGGCUGCCCGUCCCGCGUGGGUCUGGCGCACGGGGCAGUGCGAGCACUCGGCAUCUGUGGGCUCCCGGCGGCUCCGUCAGGAGGUCUGAGUCCGUUCUGCGAUUUUUUUCCAGUUGAAGCAUCUGUGCCCAAGUCACCAGGCCCUUGUUGGUGCAUCAGCAGACUGGAAACCCUGCCUUGCGUUUCCAUGUGGACCAGUGUCUUCACAGCGGAGCCCAGGCCAGGAGCCCGCUCCCCGUGUCUCAUGGCACCGAGUCCCCGCCGCAGCCGCUGGCUCGGGGCCCAGGUGGGGUCUGAUGGAGGAGGCCGCGGAGCAGGGCCGCAGCAGCCUGAGGGUCCGGUCCUGGGCAGGGCCCGAUGGCCCGAGGUGCUCCAGCUCCCGCCACCUGCUCCGAGAGGUCAGGGGUCACUGACCAGCCACGGUCACCGCGCAUUCCUGUCUCUGUGUCUUCCCAUCUGCCCCUGACCUCGGCCCCAGCGUGAGCUCCGCGGCCGGCACACCUUCCAUCGGGGGCGAGACGGUGGUGUCCCGUGGGCAGAGUUACAGCCCUCGUUCACGGUCACCGUCACCGGGGAGCCAAGGGACGGCUUCCAGGGCUCCUGGGGGUGAUGGUGAGGCGGCGCCACGUUGCCGAGCCCGUUUCCCUCCUGCAGCAGGGACGGGCUUCUCUGGAGGAUGCUGGUGGUGGGGGUGGCAUCUCCUCCUCCAUUCUCGUCCUGCGUCUUCAUCAGUAAGGAUUUGCUGAGCACAGGCGGGCAGACUUUGUACAAAAGAGGAAACGGCUCCUCUGGAAGGGCAGCUGGGCAGGACGGGUGAACCUCCAUCAGGAUCCCUGCUGAGUGGCACACCACUGCCAUCAGGCAUGGAGGUGUCCGGCCGCUGCCAGGCUGCAUCUGUCCCUGCGUCUCCUUGUCCCAGCAGCGUCACUGCGGCUGCAGAGACGAUGCACCGCUGGCUCAGCCCUGGGUGACAGGUUUCAACUCCAGGGGACGUGGGGUCCUGGAGGAAGAUCUGGGCUCAGGGAGCCAGGAAGUGGGUCCAUGGGUGCUGAACAGCCGCAGCAUUUUCCUGAGCCCAGGGCCAGGCGGGUGUGGGCUCAGAUGAUGGACCUGUGACCCCCUUCCAUAGACUGGCUCACAGCGGACAACGUGAAGCAGAGGAAGAAGGGGCAGAAACGGGAGUCCGUGCAUCUGCGGGUGAGGGGCGUGGUGGCCCAUGGGCUGGGACCUCCUCGAGGCCUCCUCAAAGCCUGCUUCCCACUGUGAGUGGAAAGGAUCACUUUUCAUGGAAAAUAAAAUAGGAAGGUUUGGUGUGGUGUUCAUAACAGCCCUAGAGCCAGGCUGUGCACCAGAUCAGCCUUUCACCAUGUUUUAAACCCA